CUGGACAAGGAGGAUGCCUUCCGGAGCUGUCUUGUAACUGGUUAUAAGGAAAGAGAGUCACACGUACAUACACACAUACAUGUGUUGAGUGUCGACACGGAUGAUGGAGUGUUAACUGUUGUGUGAAGAUACUGUUUCCAAGAAUAUGGAUAAAAGUAGAGACUUCGAGAAGACUCUUCUAAAAGAAGGGGUCAGCGAAUCAACUCUAGACAAAUUACGAAAAGAGGCGAUCACUGAUUGGUCCACACUUUCAAUUCUGACCUCCGAUGACAUAUCCGAACUAGGACUUCCGGUUGGCCAGAAAGCUCUUGUGCGUAACUUGACGCAACGGAAACAUUCAAAUGACGGGGCGGCGUCACGUGGUCAGCAAGUCUUGUCCAGUGUGCACGACAAAGCACGAGAAGAUUCCCUCUCUAUAGCAGCGACAGAUUACGUGGGACAUAGCGAUGUAUCUAGAGGUUUCAAGCAAGCCACACCGGAAGUUCUUCCACCGCGCAAGUCACGAGAACAAUCUUCCCACAAAGGAGUUCACUUUCCGGAAGACAUGCUCUCACCUGACCCAGACGAUUUGUACGAGGAACCAAUGGCCGCAAAUGGUAAACUUCCCGUCAUGUCUGCUCGACAAGACUCAAUUCCGGACGACGAGGCUCCGUCUGUGCCCACGAGAUCGCCGACAAAUAGGUCAACACAGCAAAGUUCACGUGAGCAGGGAGACAACGAAGCACGUGAAGAAAAUAAAGGAAGAUAACUCUGGUGAGCACGAGGUGGAGAUGAAUGUUUCGUGUUUGGAAACAGAAGGAAAGGGUAAAAUUAUUCUCGAGCUCACGACUGUCCACCAGGACGUCGUUAAGCUAAUUCCGGCUAGGAUUUUAUUACUGGUCGACACAAGCGGAAGUAUGGGCAUCAAAGUAGGAAGGGGAAGGCGUAGCAAACUAAAUCGUUUGAAAGCGUUCGUCAUUUCCAUGGUGAAGACUUUGGACGACGGAGAUCAGGCGGCUUUAGUGACGUUUGGGGAAGAUUCAAACGUUUUACUGCCUAUGUCGGAGAUCAAUGAUCAAACACAGGACAAGCUGACCAGACAGUUGGACGAACUGGAUAAAGCAUUCCUCUCUAAAAAGACGGAUCUGAGUGCCGGACUAAUGACCGCCCUUGAUGUAUUUGGUCGGGUUUGUAAGAGCCAGGAAGAUCUUCUAAGUUACAGAAACUGCAUCAUCGUCUUCUCGGACGGCGAAAUUAACCUCGGCACACAGGAGCCACAGCGACUUGUUCAUGAGGUCCGUGAAAAAAUCCGAGCGAUGUCAUUCGGGCUGGACAACACACAGAACCAAUGGGUGUCCAUAUCCACGGUGGUAACCGGAAGUAGUCCAUCCGAGAUCAUGUACUCGCUGUCUAAAUUCUGCAGCAGCGAUGCAUUCUACCAUCUUGACACCGAGAAGUCGUCGUCUAGAGCGGAUGUUGAUCUGUUUUUGCCGAUCAUGAUGCGCAAGACGGCCAUAGCUUGGAACGUAUCGCUACAUGUCCAGUCCCUCAACGGCGCGGUCAUCAUCAACGCCGACUGUACGCAAGAGAAUAAGGUCAGGCUGCGAGGACACAAAUCGGCCGAAGGCGAGAAAACAGAGAAAGCCUAUUUCUUUUACGACAUCCAGGCUGCUUCGGAAAAGCACGUGGGUAUUGUUAUCGACAUGUCGGGAGUAAAUCAAGAACCGGAUGUGAAGGUUUUAACUGCAGCCAUCCAUUUUACUGGCAUUUCCGGAAAGCGACGUACGCUCACAAGGGAUGUAACUCUUGGUGACUUAAUGUCAACAGAUCUUUCAAAGAAGAAGGAGGCAUUGGAAGAUAUUUACAUGCACGAGGCUCGUAUUGUUUCCCAGAUUGCCGUAAGUAAGGCUGCCGAAGAGCUAAAAACUGGUCGCGCUGAGAAAUCUCGUACCCGCCUCAUUGAGGGUCAAUCGGACCUGCAGCGGCUAAUGGAGAGUUAUGGACAGAUGGCGGAAGAAGAAGACGUCAAAAUUGACAUAGUUCCGCAUGCUGAGUCGGUCAUCAAAAAUCUACAGUCCCUUUUAGACGCUAUUGAGACGACUUCCGGAAACAAUGAGGAUGCGAACGGCAAAAAUUGGAUUCGGAUGAAGGCCGUGUCUUCCGCCAUCACUCGGGAAGCUCCGACAACUUCCGAUACCGUUGCCGACACCGAUAUCCUGUGUCCGCUACCGAAAAUACGACAGGUCAACUCCGAGAACAUCCGAGACCAGAUGGUACACGUGUACCGGAAGCAAGGCGUGCGGAACAGCAGUUUCAUAAACAUGGACCAUACUCUAACAGAACUGUCCAGCAGUUUACGAAUGAGGCCUAUAUCGGAGUGAGCAAUAUCGUAAAUGCUCACCGAGAACUGGGGGAGUCAGGAUUUCACUUUACUCAUGAAACGUACAGGUGUCUGAUAAAAUCAGUCCAGACUAUCAUUUGCGAACAUAGUCGCUGAAAUGUGACUGGCGAAGUUUCAAUGAAAUACAGUACAAUGUAUUAAGAUAAUGUUAUUUUAGUUUCAAUUUUUAACAUGACUGUGCCAUUUCCUGAUUGGUCGAGACCUCUCCGAGAGAACUUCACAAAAUGCAAAGAUAGUCUGAAACUAGCGAAUUACUCCACAAUAGGUUAACAUAGGAAAUUGAUAACCUGGACUAAAAGCAGAUUUUCCCAAAUCUUCACUAUUUUUGACCUAUCAUACAAUAGUAUGGUCAAUCAUCUGGCUGUUGCCAUGGCAAACGAAACUACUGUAGGGCUUGAUGCGAUACGUUUUGGCUGUAUUUCAGACACUGAUCUACAAAAUAUUAUAUAUGCGGUAAGCAUAAAUAGAAAGACACCAAAAGCGACAAGGAGACAUUGGUGAAGAUACUCCAGGAUAAUUUGGUGGAAAAAUGUUUUGACGUUAUCUUUGAAAAUCUAACUUGUUAACACCUUAACAGUUUCAGUAAGGCUGAGGAAUUCGACCUCUCGAGUUAAAUUUAGAAUUUAUAUUGAAAAGAGGAUUAUAAGGCAUCGCUUUGUAUAGCGAAACAGUUAUUGACUUCUUUAGGUUAAUACACGGAAUUGUCAACCUUCGAAAAGCCUUCAGCCUCGGGGAAUAUCACCUGUCUCGGGUUAACAAUUCCUUGUAUUAACCUAAAACAGUAAAUAAUUGUAUAGUAUUAAUUUAUAUUGUAUAGGACAGUGGUAUUAUCAAUCAGGAACCCUAAUCGUUGACCAUUCCAUAUGACACAUGCUCCUAUAAAAAAAUCGAUAUUUUGUUAUCUCUUUAUCUUUAAUCUAAGUAUUUUUUAUACAUUUAUAUUUUACUUUUUUUCAUAUGUUAGUAUAUCAUGCUUAGUAUUAUAUGUCAUGUCAAUGUUUGUUGCUUACGUCUUUUAGUAUAACAUGCAUGUACAUUUAACGGUUGGAACAUAUCCCCUAGCCCGAGUUUCCUCUGGCCUGACACCAUGUCUAGACAUUGUGUCAGGGUCAGAGGAAACUCGGGCUACAUAUCCCCUUAAAGUCUUGUCCGUGAGUACUCUCUCUAACUCCUUGUUUAGUACUGAGGGGUCGCUGAGGACUCUUUGCCUUACAUGACAUAUAAAUGAUGUAAAGGAAAUUUAGUAUCCCCCCUCUCAAAAAAAAAACAAAAAAAAAAAAAACAAAAAAAAAAACAAAAAAAAAAAACAAAACAAACAAACGAACAAAAAACCGACUACUCACGCUUAUCAUCAUAAAUCAAUAGCUUCGCCCGAGAUAUAGAUAUAUGUCAGGUGUUUUUUUUAUCACACAGUACGAUUUUUUUAAAAUUGUAAUAAAUGAUGAAGGGCUCUUAACGCAGUUUGUAUAUACACGAGCUAUCAAUUAUGUACGACGAGCUAAAUUUUAUCUUUGCUUUUGAUAUAAAGAAUAUAUGGGUAAUCCAACACCUUGGUAUUAUGAAACACAUUAAUCACGCAUGCAAUCAAGCUUAGUAAGUUGUCAAUGUGUCGGAUAAUAGAGGGUUAUCUUGUUAUAUGUGAUACGUGUAGGUAAGGUAGAUAAUUGAUGGUAUAGUAUCUAUUAUGACCCGAGAAUGUCUGAUAAGACAAUACAUUAUGUCCAUCGAUUGUUCGAGUACAGUAACCCGUCAAUAGAUUGUGCUUAGUGUAGUGUCAGUUUAGACAGGCGACUCUGACCAAUGUUUCGUGCCAUAUACCACGUGUAUUAUGUCAGAUAAGACGGAUUUAUGUCAACAGAGUUCAUGAUUAGACAGUUUAAUUUGAAGAACAUGCGUUAUAUGGUGACAUAAAAGAAUGGCUAAUCCUGUUGGGUUUCGUGUUGAUAGAUGCGAAAUGUUUUUAUGAAAAAGACAGGUUAAUACAAAUAUAUGAUGUCUCCUAUAGUUUGUCAGAUUAAACAGGUUUAUCUGAUCAAUAUAAUGUGUCACACAGUGUGUCAGAUUAGACAGGUUUAUCUGAUCAAUACAUUGUGUCCCACAGUGUGCCAGAUUAUACAGGUUUAUCUGAUCAAUAUAAUGUGUCACACAGUGUGUCAGAUUAGACAGGUUUAUCUGAUCAAUACAUUGUGUCCCACAGUGUGUCAGAUUAGACAGGUUUAUCUGAUCAAUAUAAUCUGUCAAACAGUGUGUCAGAUUAGACAGGUUUAUCUGAUCAAUAUAAUGUGUCCCAUAGUGUGUCAGAUUAGAAGGUUUAUCUGAUCAAUAUAAUGUGUCACACAGUGUGUCAGAUUAGACAGGUUUAUCUGAUCAAUACAAUGUGUCCCACAGUGUGUCAGAUUAGACAGGUUUAUCUGAUCAAUAUAAUGUGUCACACAGUGUGUCAGAUUAGACAGGUUUAUCUGAUCAAUAUAAUGUGUCACACAGUGUGUCAGAUUAGACAGGUUUAUCUGAUCAAUACAAUGUGUCCCACAGUGUGUCAGAUUAGACAGGUUUAUCUGAUCAAUAUAAUGUGUCCCACAGUUUGUCAGAUUAGACAGGUUUAUCUGAUCAAUACAUUGUGUCCCACAGUGUGUCAGAUUAGACAGGUUUAUCUGAUCAAUAUAAUGUGUCAAACAGUGUGUCAGAUUAAACAGGUUUAUCUGAUCAAUAUAAUGUGUCCCAUAGUGUGUCAGAUUAGACAGGUUUAUCUGAUCAAUAUAAUGUGUCACACAGUGUGUCAGAUUAGACAGGUUUAUCUGAUCAAUACAAUGUGUCCCACAGUGUGUCAGAUUAGACAGGUUUAUCUGAUCAAUACAUUGUGUCCCACAGUGUGUCAGAUUAGACAGGUUUAUCUGAUCAAUACAUUGUGUCCCACAGUGUGUAAGAUAAGACAGGUUUAUCUGAUCAAUACAUUGUGUCCCACAGUGUGUCAGAUUAGACAGGUUUAUCUGAUCAAUAUAAUGUGUCCCACAGUGUGUCAGAUUAGACAGGUUUAUCUGAUCAAUACUUUUGUCCCACGUGAUGCGAGCUUAUACAUGUGUAUCUGAACAAUGUUGUGUCCCACCCACGUGGUGUCAGAUUAGACAGGUUUAUAUGAACAAUGUUGCACACCGAUGUGGUGUCCCAGUGGUGUCAGAUUAGACAGGUUUAUAUGAGCAAUGUUGUGUCCCAUAUGGUGUCAGAUUAUACAGGUUAAUCUGAGUGAUGUGGUGUCCCAGUGUGUGUACGAUAACUACAUUUUACUGUAAUGCUACACGAUCAUAUUUUCAUAUUUUCAAAUGUCCUAUGUUCUGUAUUGUUGUUUCAUAAUUAUGCAAAUAAUGUGUCAAAAAGAAAAAAAAACUAACAUAUUUAUUUUCGAUACAAAUGUGUAAAAUUUACAUUAAAUCAUCACUACGUCA